rnacentral:rRNA from 1 species
GGGCUGUGAGUGCUACCAUGCAGUCGAACGGUGAACACGGAGCUUGCUCUGUGGGAUCAGUGGCGAACGGGUGAGUAACACGUGAGCAACCUGCCCCUGACUCUGGGAUAAGCGCUGGAAACGGCGUCUAAUACUGGAUAUGUGACGUGACCGCAUGGUCUGCGUUUGGAAAGAUUUUUCGGUUGGGGAUGGGCUCGCGGCCUAUCAGCUUGUUGGUGAGGUAAUGGCUCACCAAGGCGUCGACGGGUAGCCGGCCUGAGAGGGUGACCGGCCACACUGGGACUGAGACACGGCCCAGACUCCUACGGGAGGCAGCAGUGGGGAAUAUUGCACAAUGGGCGAAAGCCUGAUGCAGCAACGCCGCGUGAGGGAUGACGGCCUUCGGGUUGUAAACCUCUUUUAGCAGGGAAGAAGCGAAAGUGACGGUACCUGCAGAAAAAGCGCCGGCUAACUACGUGCCAGCAGCCGCGGUAAUACGUAGGGCGCAAGCGUUAUCCGGAAUUAUUGGGCGUAAAGAGCUCGUAGGCGGUUUGUCGCGUCUGCUGUGAAAUCCCGAGGCUCAACCUCGGGCCUGCAGUGGGUACGGGCAGACUAGAGUGCGGUAGGGGAGAUUGGAAUUCCUGGUGUAGCGGUGGAAUGCGCAGAUAUCAGGAGGAACACCGAUGGCGAAGGCAGAUCUCUGGGCCGUAACUGACGCUGAGGAGCGAAAGGGUGGGGAGCAAACAGGCUUAGAUACCCUGGUAGUCCACCCCGUAAACGUUGGGAACUAGUUGUGGGGUCCAUUCCACGGAUUCCGUGACGCAGCUAACGCAUUAAGUUCCCCGCCUGGGGAGUACGGCCGCAAGGCUAAAACUCAAAGGAAUUGACGGGGACCCGCACAAGCGGCGGAGCAUGCGGAUUAAUUCGAUGCAACGCGAAGAACCUUACCAAGGCUUGACAUAUACGAGAACGGGCCAGAAAUGGUCAACUCUUUGGACACUCGUAAACAGGUGGUGCAUGGUUGUCGUCAGCUCGUGUCGUGAGAUGUUGGGUUAAGUCCCGCAACGACGCAACCUCGUCUAUGUGCCAGCACGUAAUGUGGACUCAUGCAUACUGCCGGGGUCACUCGAGGAAGGUGGGAUGACGUCAAUCAUCAUGCCCUUAAUGUCUUGGGCUCACCGCAUGCUACA